rnacentral:rRNA from 1 species
UACAGAGGGUGCAAGCGUUAAUCGGAGUUACUGGGCGUAAAGGGCGCGUAGGUGGUUGUGUAAGUGAGAUGUGAAAUCCCUGGGCUUAACCUAGGAACUGCAUCUUAUACUGCAUAACUGGAGUACUGUAGAGGGUAGUGGAAUUUCCGGUGUAGCGGUGAAAUGCGUUGAGAUCGGAAGGAACGCCCGUGGCGAAAGCGAGCCCCUGGACCUUUGCUGACGCUGAGACGCGAAAGCUAGGGGAGCGAACGGG